CCACAUUGGAACUGAGACACGGUCCAAACUCCUACGGGAGGCAGCAGUGAGGAAUAUUGGUCAAUGGACGAGAGUCUGAACCAGCCAAGUAGCGUGAGGGAUGAAGGUCCUACGGAUUGUAAACUUCUUUUAUAAGGGAAUAAACCCUCCCACGUGUGGGAGCUUGUAUGUACCUUAUGAAUAAGCAUCGGCUAACUCCGUGCCAGCAGCCGCGGUAAUACGGAGGAUGCGAGCGUUAUCCGGAUUUAUUGGGUUUAAAGGGAGCGCAGACGGGUCGUUAAGUCAGCUGUGAAAGUUUGGGGCUCAACCUUAAAAUUGCAGUUGAUACUGGCGUCCUUGAGUGCGGUUGAGGUGUGCGGAAUUCGUGGUGUAGCGGUGAAAUGCUUAGAUAUCACGAAGAACUCCGAUUGCGAAGGCAGUACACUAAUCCGUAACUGACGUUCAUGCUCGAAAGUGUGGGUAUCAAACAGGAUUAGAUACCCUGGUAGUCCACACGGUAAACGAUGGAUACUCGCUGUUGGCGAUAUACUGUCAGCGGCUUAGCGAAAGCGUUAAGUAUCCCACCUGGGGAGUACGCCGGCAACGGUGCAACUCAAAUGAAUUGACGG
rnacentral:rRNA from 1 species